rnacentral:lncRNA from 10 species
UCAUUAACUAUUCCCGAUAAAUUGACAAAAUCAAGCUCACAGUGGUAGACAGCUGAUUCUCAGUGGAAAAGGACAAAGGAUCCGUCAGACAUGUCUGGUGAUACUGUAAAUCAGCAUAACCUUUGAUGGGACACAGUCACGCAAAAUGUGACAACCAUAAAAUUCUGACCAGCAAUUCCACUUUUGAAAACAGCCCCAAAGAGACAGGACAAAGUAAACAGGGAAAACACAGAUGGCCUUCUCCAGCCACAGAGGCAGUCCCUGGUGCCCAGAGCGGGGACAGUUGGUGACUCGAUCCAGGAGAGGAAGUCACCUGCGCCCUGAACUCUGAGGCUCACAUCCUGUGAACCUGCUCAGGAGAGCUAAGGUGUGGCCCACCAGUGCCUUUUGGGGACUCAUAGAAACAGCUCCUCUCACCUAGAAAGAAACAGAGCCACCAUCUUCCCACCCCUCAAAGGGGGAAAUCACUUUCACUUGGUCCUCAUUCUCUCUUGACUGCCACCAUGUAAGAUGUGCAUUUCACCUUCCACCAUGACUGUGAGGCUUCCCCAGCCACGUGGAACUAUGAUUUGUGGCUGCCCAUGAGGAACGACCAAAAUGACCAGCAUUUCCAAAUUCGGCUCUCAACUUGCCUGCUCUUCCCUCCCAUCUCCUCACCUAUAUGCUUUCCAGGAAGGUUGGUGAACAGAGAGCAGGAUGGCAGGGCACUAGGCACUGCCCUUUCAUUUGGCUUCCUCCAGCUUUUGGCAGAUGUCAUUUCUCUCUGAUGUAAGGUAAACGUGAGGGAGAGGUACCUAAGGCUUGAAGGAAAUACUCACUGAAUGACAAUGUCUUGAAAUUUAUGCUGGUCCCGUUGGUUCCCCCAGCACUGGUGCUGGCCAUGACCUGAACAAUGUAAGAGGUCUUUCGUUUCAG